rnacentral:lncRNA from 1 species
CUGUGUGCACUCUAUCUAAGUGACAACGGUUUUGAAAUCCUGCCACCAGAUAUUGGGAAGCUCACAAAGUUGCAGAUAGUAACUCAGCAAUAGGGAUAAAGACCUGAUCUCACUGCUUAAGGAAAUUGGGGAGCUUACCCAGCUUAAAGAGCUCCACAUUCAGAGGAACCGCCUCACUGUUCUACGCCCAGAACUAGGCAAUGAUGGGACCUCUUCUCCUGCAUUUGUUACCCAGAUAAUUUUGCCUUUGGAGAAGAGAAGAAAAUCACAUUGGUCUGCUCGGAAUGCAACAAAACAAAGUGUUAUUGACACCAAAACCUUAUUUGCACCAAUCCAAACAGCCUAUGGGACAUAUGUCUGCAAUGCUGCACACACCUGGGGCUAGCCAGCUUAGUGCCCUACGAUAUGUGCCAAUAAUCGAUAGCAUUUUUUACUACAGUAA